UCUAGUAGUGUUGUAUUGCUUUGCUGUUGUUACGGCAACAGACACGCUGAGAACGCUGACACGUUCCAAAACAAAGUUGAUUACCUGUCGAUAAACAUGUUUGAAUGCGUUUAAUUCGUUGGAAAAACUUUAACAUUAACUGCUUUUAAUAAAUUCAUUUCUGACAAGUGAUUAGUAGCCUAUCAUAAUGCGAAAGGCGCCGCGUGGUGAAGCGUCGAUCGCCGUCGAUGAUGCUGUGGUGCUGCAGCUCCGCGCGCUCUGGAGAAGAUAUGAGCAUCACUGCAUGCAGAUUGACAGCUGUCCCAGUGCAGUGCUCAAACAGGACAUCCUUCACCAAAUCGACAAACAGGAACAUCUCAAAAAGAUAACACUGUCAUUUCCAGAUUGCGGGCCCUCAGACACUAUUCUGCCCAGCCUUCAGCCUCUGUUAAUGGCUAUACGAGAUGAGCGUUACACACAUGCCCAAGAAUUCCACAUCUGGAGUCUGUCUCUCAAGCAAAAAGAUGUAGUUGAGCUGUGUCUUCUUUUGGAGCAAAGGGGGAGGACAGUUUAUCCCUUCAGAUCGCUGGAGCUGCUUGAUUGCAAACUGACUGAAUGGUCUCUGGAAAGAUUGGGCAAGGCUGCAGGCAUCAGCUACCUCACCACACUCUGCCUGGACUACACAUGUGUGGGACAGGAAGGAUUGAAAGGUUUGCUGAGUGGAGGUUUGGGGACCAGUCAAAUAUGUUCCUUGAGUUUAUGUUAUUGUGGUUUGGGUUCAUGGAGUGGAACUCUGCUUGCUUCACUUCUCACCAACAGUUCUGUGAGGGAGCUGUACAUCAAUGGCAAUGAGCUGCAAUGUGGGGGUGCCAGUGAGCUGCUGAGACCUGUGGCUGAAAACAGCCAAAAAAUGGCAGAGAUCCAAAACAGGGCCACAUCCAUCACAGAUGAGACAGAGUUGAUCUCCCAAAUGAGCAAUACGUCUUCCAGGCAAAAGAAAGCAAAGAACAAAGGAAAGAAGACGAAGAAGAAAAGAGAAAAAGCAAAGAGCAGUCCAGGCGCUGCAGGGGGCCCAUGGCUAAAGAAGCUGCACAUGUUUGAUAACUCCAUUGAUCACUCAGAAAAGGAGGAACUAACUCGAUUCUUGGAGCUCCUUUGCAUUCUAGUACGGUCCUCCAGUCACCUGACCGAACUGGACCUUGGUGAGAAUCACAUCGGAGAGGAUGGUGGGAAAGUGCUUUUAGAGGCCCUGAGAGAGAGACAAGCAGCUAAACUAUCUCCAAUCAAAAUCCAAGUUUCAACACGCAUGUCCACAGAAACAUUCAGUGCCAUUUUGAAAAGUGCAAAGGAACUUAAAUCUGGGAAAAAGAGAAGAAAGACAAAGUUUUUUAGAAAUCAUCCUCUUCCAUGUGGUCUGAAUUGUGUUCGACAACAGCCGCGCACCAAAUGUGACCACAUAACAGACUCGCGGUUUAUGAAGCACUUAUUUGUCAGUGGUGCAGCCAGGGGCGCCCCCAAGGGGUGGCCACCCCUGCAUAAACUCUGGCCACCCCUGUGGCCACCCCAGUAUAAUUUUGCAUCGGGUACUAUUAAUUUAAAUGCAUAAUGUAAAUUCACAAGUUCAUGAAGUGAAAGAAAAUAAAAUGCCACCAAAAAAGAUAGAUUGACUGACGCCACCAGAGUAGCUGUUUUACUGCCACCAAGAGUCUAAAUAGUAAUGUCUACAGACCUGAAUUUCAAAUGCUAUUUAUACUGUGAAGAGGGUAGGGUAGGGGUGUGCGAUAUAUUUAGUCUACGAUUUUAUCAUAAUUGUUGUUUUAACGAUGCACAUCGAUCUGACAUCCCUGUAUGUGAUGUUGUCUUGUAGAUUAGACUAGUGUCGGUGCGCAUUUAGAGUGCACGCUUUCACUGUGUUAAUAAAUAUCACAUGAAGAGUGCCGUUUUUCUCCAGAUAUCAGCAUAACAAAUGUUAUAUAAAUUUUAUUCAUGUUUACAUUUUAGACAUCAUUGCCUGUUUCUGCACAAUUUCGCCAACGAAUAUAGUUCAGAUCAAAUCCAGAGCAUUGUAUUGCGUCCCUGAGCAACAAAUGGCACUGUUUACUGAAUGAAUCAGCUUUUUGAACGAAUAAGUUGAAUCAUUGAAAACUGGAAAAGAUAGGUUACAAGUGACGACGAGGGAGCUUCAGUUGAACAACAGUGAACUGCGGUCAGAUGAGAUAUUGUCAGACUAUGUCAGUAAAAUUCAGAAAAAUGAACAGGUCCAAUCAGCCGUUAUUCUGUGCUCGCGGCGCGCACUCAAGUAUUGCAUGCGCAAAUGUGCCGGCGCGCGCUGCAUAAUUACUUUAUUAUAGCUUAAAUAAAGCCCAAAAGAAUAUGAGCAAUGACCGUCAUUGCUCUGUUGUAAGUUAAGUCAUGAAAUUACCACACAUGCGAUUAAAGCUGCCUCAAAACUGUGAAUGCAUGUAUUUGUUGACAUGGUUUUAAAGCUAUUGUUAUCCAAUUUGUUGGCCUUAAAACAU